rnacentral:rRNA from 1 species
GACGAACGCUGGCGGCGUGCUUAACACAUGCAAGUCGAACGGAAAGGCCCUGCUUUUGUGGGGUGCUCGAGUGGCGAACGGGUGAGUAACACGUGAGUAACCUGCCCUUGACUUUGGGAUAACUUCAGGAAACUGGGGCUAAUACCGGAUAGGAGCUCCUGCUGCAUGGUGGGGGUUGGAAAGUUUCGGCGGUUGGGGAUGGACUCGCGGCUUUUCAGCUUGUUGGUGGGGUAGUGGCUUACCAAGGCUUUGACGGGUAGCCGGCCUGAGAGGGUGACCGGCCACAUUGGGACUGAGAUACGGCCCAGACUCCUACGGGAGGCAGCAGUGGGGAAUAUUGCACAAUGGGCGGAAGCCUGAUGCAGCAACGCCGCGCGCGGGAUGACGGCCUUCGGGUUGUAAACCGCUUUCGCCUGUGACGAAGCGUGAGUGACGGUAAUGGGUAAAGAAGCACCGGCUAACUACGUG